CUUACAUGAUGUUCAAAUAUCGCCCCAGUCUGAUUGUUGUGAAUGAUUCGAUAAAAUCUGAUAAU